UAAUACGUAGGGGACGAGCGUUGUCCGGAUUUACUGGGCGUAAAGGGCGCGUAGGCGGUCAUUUAAGUCAGCUGUGAAAUGGUUUGGCUUAACCGGAUCAUGCGGUUGAAACUGGAUGACUGGAGUGCUGGAGAGGCAAGUGGAAUUCCCAGUGUAGCGGUGAAAUGCGUAGAUAUUGGGAAGAACACCGGUGGCGAAGGCGACUUGCUGGCCAGCAACUGACGCUGAGGCGCGAAAGCCAGGGGAGCAAACGGG
rnacentral:rRNA from 1 species